rnacentral:rRNA from 1 species
GACGAACGCUGGCGGCGUGCUUAACACAUGCAAGUCGAACGGAAAGGCCCUGCUUUUGUGGGGUGCUCGAGUGGCGAACGGGUGAGUAACACGUGAGUAACCUGCCCUUGACUUUGGGAUAACUUCAGGAAACUGGGGCUAAUACCGGAUAGGAGCUCCUGCUGCAUGGUGGGGGUUGGAAAGUUUCGGCGGUUGGGGAUGGACUCGCGGCUUAUCAGCUUGUUGGUGGGGUAGUGGCUUACCAAGGCUUUGACGGGUAGCCGGCCUGAGAGGGUGACCGGCCACAUUGGGACUGAGAUACGGCCCGGACUCCUACGGGAGGCAGCAGUGGGGAAUAUUGCACAAUGGGCGGAAGCCUGAUGCAGCAACGCCGCGUGCGGGAUGACGGCCUUCGGGUUGUAAACCGCUUUCGCCUGUGACGAAGCGUGAGUGACGGUAAUGGGUAAAGAAGCACCGGCUAACUACGUGCCAGCAGCCGCGGUGAUACGUAGGGUGCGAGCGUUGUCCGGAUUUAUUGGGCGUAAAGGGCUCGUAGGUGGUUGAUCGCGUCGGAAGUGUAAUCUUGGGGCUUAACCCUGAGCGUGCUUUCGAUACGGGUUGACUUGAGGAAGGUAGGGGAGAAUGGAAUUCCUGGUGGAGCGGUGGAAUGCGCAGAUAUCAGGAGGAACACCAGUGGCGAAGGCGGUUCUCUGGGCCUUUCCUGACGCUGAGGAGCGAAAGCGUGGGGAGCGAACAGGCUUAGAUACCCUGGUAGUCCACGCUGUAAACGGUGGGUACUAGGUGUGGGGUCCAUUCCACGGGUUCCGUGCCGUAGCUAACGCUUUAAGUACCCCGCCUGGGGAGUACGGCCGCAAGGCUAAAACUCAAAGGAAUUGACGGGGCCCCGCACAAGCGGCGGAGCAUGCGGAUUAAUUCGAUGCAACGCGUAGAACCUUACCUGGGUUUGACAUGGAUCGGGAGUGCUCAGAGAUGGGUGUGCCUCUUUUGGGGUCGGUUCACAGGUGGUGCAUGGCUGUCGUCAGCUCGUGUCGUGAGAUGUUGGGUUAAGUCCCGCAACGGGCGCAACCCUUGUUCACUGUUGCCAGCACGUUAUGGUGGGGACUCAGUGGAGACCGCCGGGGUCAACUCGGAGGAAGGUGGGGAUGACGUCAAGUCAUCAUGCCCCUUAUGUCCAGGGCUUCACGCAUGCUACAAUGGCUGGUACAGAGAGUGGCGAGCCUGUGAGGGUGAGCGAAUCUCGGAAAGCCGGUCUCAGUUCGGAUUGGGGUCUGCAACUCGACCUCAUGAAGUCGGAGUCGCUAGUAAUCGCAGAUCAGCAACGCUGCGGUGAAUACGUUCCCGGGGCU